rnacentral:rRNA from 1 species
GUUGGAGCCGUCCUUGAAAUACCACCCUUGUAUGUUUGAUGUUCUAACUUAGACCCAUUAUCUGGGUUGAGGACAGUGCCUGGUGGGUAGUUUGACUGGGGCGGUCUCCUCCCAAAGAGUAACGGAGGAGCACGAAGGUGGGCUAAUCACGGUUGGACAUCGUGAGGUUAGUGCAAUGGCAUAAGCCCGCUUAACUGCGAGAAUGACGGUUCGAGCAGGUGCGAAAGCAGGUCAUAGUGAUCCGGUGGUUCUGUAUGGAAGGGCCAUCGCUCAACGGAUAAAAGGUACUCCGGGGAUAACAGGCUGAUACCGCCCAAGAGUUCAUAUCGACGGCGGUGUUUGGCACCUCGAUGUCGGCUCAUCACAUCCUGGGGCUGAAGUCGGUCCCAAGGGUAUGGCUGUUCGCCAUUUAAAGUGGUACGCGAGCUGGGUUUAGAACGUCGUGAGACAGUUCGGUCCCUAUCUGCCGUGGGCGUUGGAAGAUUGAAGGGGGCUGCUCCUAGUACGAGAGGACCGGAGUGGACGAACCUCUGGUGUUCGGGUUGUGUCGCCAGACGCAUUGCCCGGUAGCUAAGUUCGGAAUUGAUAAGCGCUGAAAGCAUCUAAGCGCGAAGCGAGC